rnacentral:rRNA from 1 species
UGGGGAAUAUUGGACAAUGGGCGAAAGCCUGAUCCAGUCAUGCCGCGUGUGUGAAGAAGGUCUUCGGAUUGUAAAGCACUUUAAGUUGGGAGGAAGGGCAGUAAGUUAAUACCUUGCUGUUUUGACGUUACCGACAGAAUAAGCACCGGCUAACUCUGUGCCAGCAGCCGCGGUAAUACAGAGGGUGCAAGCGUUAAUCGGAAUUACUGGGCGUAAAGCGCGCGUAGGUGGUUUGUUAAGUUGGAUGUGAAAGCCCCGGGCUCAACCUGGGAACUGCAUCCAAAACUGGCAGGCUAGAGUACGGUAGAGGGUGGUGGAAUUUCCUGUGUAGCGGUGAAAUGCGUAGAUAUAGGAAGGAACACCAGUGGCGAAGGCGACCACCUGGACUGAUACUGACACUGAGGUGCGAAAGCGUGGGGAGCAAACA